rnacentral:rRNA from 1 species
UACGUAGGGUGCGAGCGUUGUCCGGAAUUAUUGGGCGUAAAGGGCUCGUAGGCGGUUUGUCGCGUCGGGAGUGAAAACUCAGGGCUUAACCCUGAGCCUGCUUCCGAUACGGGCAGACUAGAGGUAUGCAGGGGAGAACGGAAUUCCUGGUGUAGCGGUGAAAUGCGCAGAUAUCAGGAGGAACACCGGUGGCGAAGGCGGGUCUCUGGGCAACUACUGACGCUGAGGAGCGAAAGCGUGGGGAGCGAACAGG